GCAGUGGUGAUUCAAUGGUAGAAUUCUCAUCUCCCAUAUGGGAGACCCAUGUUCAAUUCACAACCAAUGCA
rnacentral:tRNA from 1 species